UGCCAACUCCUACGGGAGGCAGCAGUGGGGGAUAUUGCACAAUGGGGGAAACCCUGAUGCAGCGACGCCGCGUGAGUGAAGAAGUAAUUCGUUACGUAAAGCUCUCUCAGCAGGGAAGAAAAUGACGGUACCUGACUAAGAAGCCCCGGCUAAAUACGUGCCAGCAGCCGCGGUAAUACGUAUGGGGCAAGCGUUAUCCGGAUUUACUGGGUGUAAAGGGAGCGUAGGCGGCCUGGCAAGCCUGAUGUGAAAUACCGGGGCCCAACCCCGGGGCUGCAUUGGGAACUGCCAGGCUGGAGUGCCGGAGAGGCAGGCGGAAUUCCUAGUGUAGCGGUGAAAUGCGUAGAUAUUAGGAGGAACACCAGUGGCGAAGGCGGCCUGCUGGACGGUGACUGACGCUGAGGCUCGAAAGCGUGGGGAGCAAACAGGAUUAGAUACCCCGGUAAA
rnacentral:rRNA from 1 species